AGCAGUCGCCACGGGAAUACAGAGGGUGCGAGCGUUAAUCGGAUUUACUGGGCGUAAAGCGUGCGUAGGCGGCUAAUUGAGUCGGAUGUGAAAUCCCCGAGCUUAACUUGGGAAUUGCAUUCGAUACUGGUUAGCUAGAGUGUGGGAGAGGAUGGUAGAAUUCCAGGUGUAGCGGUGAAAUGCGUAGAGAUCUGGAGGAAUACCGAUGGCGAAGGCAGCCAUCUGGCCUAACACUGACGCUGAGGUACGAAAGCAUGGGGAGCAAACAGGAUUAGAUACCCCUGUAGUCCCUGUCUCUUAUAA
rnacentral:rRNA from 1 species